CUCGUGUUGUGAAAUGUUGGGUUAAGUCCCGUAACGAGCGCAACCCUUGUCCUUAUUUGCCAGCGAGUAAUGUCGGGAACUCUAAGGAGACUGCCGGUGACAAACCGGAGGAAGGUGGGGACGACGUCAAGUCAUCAUGGCCCUUACGGCCUGGGCUACACACGUGCUACAAUGGCCGGUACAGAGGGCAGCUACCACGCGAGUGGAUGCGAAUCUCGAAAGCCGAUCUCAGUUCGGAUUGGAGUCUGCAACUCGACUCCAUGAAGCCGGAAUCACUAGUAAUCGCGGAUCAGCCAUGCCGCGGUGAAUACGUUCCCGGGCCUUGUACACACCGCCCGUCACACCAUGGGAGUGGAUUGCACCAGAAGUGGUUAGUCUAACCUUCGGGGGGACGAUCACCACGGUGUGGUUCAUGACUGGGGUGAAGUCGUAACAAGGUAGCCCUAGGGGAA
rnacentral:rRNA from 14 species